UACGGGGGGGGCAAGCGUUGUUCGGAAUUACUGGGCGUAAAGGGCGCGUAGGCGGUCCGCUAAGUUGAAUGUGAAAACUCUGGGCUUAACCCAGAGCCUGCAUUCAAUACUGGCAGGCUAGAGUUCUGGAGGGGAUAGCGGAAUUCCUGGUGUAGCGGUGAAAUGCGUAGAUAUCAGGAGGAACACCGGUGGCGAAGGCGGCUAUCUGGACAGAGUCUGACGCUGAGGCGCGAAAGCGUGGGGAGCAAACAGG
rnacentral:rRNA from 1 species